GUAAAGCAGUGAAACCCAUUUAGAAAUUGAAUCCCAAAAAAAAAUCAGCUGACUUUCCUCAAAUCUUGAUGACUGAAAAUCUUAACUUAAAUGGAGCUGCAACAUAAAAAUGACCUCACGCAAAUCACGCUAUGGAAAGAUUCGUUUAGACGUCCAUUUCAGCUCCCCAUCAAUUUUAGAGCAUCUUGCUACCACCGUAUAGGAUUUAAGAUCUCGAGAAGUAUUGUGGAAGGGUAAAGUGUUCAAGGGGUGACUAAUGGAUAACAAGGGUUGUUCGUAUGUCAUAUUGGCGAGAAAUAGAGGUAAUGGAUGUGAUGAAAUAUGAUUAGAUGGAUUUCACCUUGAGGGAAAGAGACUGCAUUUAGUUGUAAGGAAGUUGGAUGAUAGUGUGCUCUGUGACCAUGUCUGGGUAAUGUGACGAUGAUGUAAUAGUACGAAGUGAGGGGUUGGUUGGACUGCUUAUGGGUGAAAUUGGGGGUCUGUUAAUGUGUUAGAAUAGUUAGGCUUGACAAGGUGGAGACACAGGUGACUAUUUCAUGAUCUUACUAGUUGAUUGUUUAUGUUAUGUGGUGGGUGUUGGGUUGACAAAUCAUGCCUGCCAGUACGUGUGCUUGUAGUGAUACUACUAUUUCUAUGUCUUUUGACAUAGUCUUGAUGCAAGUUGGUGAUAUCUAAUUAGGUGAAAACGAAGAAAUUCUUCAGCAGCUUCUAUUCUUCCUUAUGCAUGGUGGGAGUCCUGUCAUUUAUUUAUCUUAUCCAUUUGUACUUUUAGUAGAUCUUGUACAUGUUUAGACUAGGUCCUUGGAAGUGUUAAUUACUUUAUAAGUUUCACAUCGAGAUUGUUUAAAGGUUUUUAAUUAAGAAUUUGUUAUUAAAUUCAUUACGAUUUAUUCAAAUUUUUGCAUGUUUUAAA